UACGUAGGGGGCUAGCGUUGUUCGGAAUCCCUGGGCGUAAAGCGCACGUAGGCGGGUCUUUAAGUCAGGGGUGAAAUCCCGAGGCUCAACCUCGGAACUGCCUUUGAUACUGGAGAUCUCGAGUCCGGGAGAGGUGAGUGGAACUGCGAGUGUAGAGGUGAAAUUCGUAGAUAUUCGCAAGAACACCAGUGGCGAAGGCGGCUCACUGGCCCGGUACUGACGCUGAGGUGCGAAAGCGUGGGGAGCAAACAGG
rnacentral:rRNA from 1 species